rnacentral:misc_RNA from 1 species
CUAUAACUCAAUAUGGCAGGGUUAUAGGACUCUCCUCUUUGAUCUUGACCCAGAACAUGAAAAUCAAAAUUCUCAGGAAGUGAAGCAUCGCCCUUGAGGUACUGCAGAACUUGUGACAUCCUUGGCCUAAUUUCUGCCAUGGGAUGCGAACAAAGUAGUCCAAGCUUCAAAACUAGUUCAGCCUCUUCAAUCUUGAUAUCUUUGUUCAGUUUGGGAUCCACAGUACUCAAGAUUUUCCCUUCCCUCCAACGCUGGUAUACCCAAUCCACUAAUGCCACCUCUUCCGGCGACACUCGUGACUCCACUGGCCUUCUACCACAUACUACUUCCAAGCAAAAUGCCCCAUAUGCAUAAACAUCAGUACUUGGGGUUGCCUUGCCAUUUUUUGCAAGCUCGGGUGCAAUGUAGCCAAAGGUGCCGGCUACAUGAGUAGUUUGAGGAUCCUGUGUGCGUUUGCUACUUCUUGCAAGCCCAAAAUCUCCCAAUUUCGCUCUUAAGUCACUAUCUAAUAACACAUUGCUGGCCUUUAUAUCUCUAUGAACAAUAACUUCAACCCAUUCUUCAUGAAGAUAGGUAAGUGCUAAAGCAACAUCUUUGAUAAUUUUAAAUCUUUGAACCCAAUUAACAGUUACUUGUGCCUUAUUAUAGAUGAAUUUGUCAAGACUGGCGUUAGGCAUGUAAUCAUAGACCAAAAGGAGCUGACCUUCACCGCGACAAUAGCCAAGU